rnacentral:tRNA from 1 species
CGGAACGUAGCGCAGCCUGGUAGCGCACUUCACUGGGGGUGAAGGGGUCGCUGGUUCGAAUCCAGUCGUUCCGACCA